rnacentral:rRNA from 1 species
CAAGUCGAACGGGAAAGUGGAGCAAUCCAUGAGUACAGUGGCGUACGGGUGAGUAACACGUGGGUAAUCUACCUCUUAGUGGGGAAUAACCCUGGGAAACCGGGGCUAAUACCGCAUAAGCCUGAGAAGGGAAAGCAGCAAUGCGCUGAGAGAGGAGCCCGCGGCCGAUUAGCUAGUUGGUAGGGUAAAGGCCUACCAAGGCAGAGAUCGGUAGCCGGCCUGAGAGGGCACACGGCCACACUGGCACUGAAACACGGGCCAGACUCCUACGGGAGGCAGCAGUGGGGAAUCUUGCACAAUGGGGGCAACCCUGAUGCAGCGACGCCGCGUGAGCGAUGAAGCCCUUCGGGGUGUAAAGCUCUUUCGUCAGGGAAGAUCAUGACGGUACCUGGAGAAGCAGCUGCGGCUAACUACGUGCCAGCAGCCGCGGUAAUACGUAGGCAGCGAGCGUUGUUCGGAGUUACUGGGCGUAAAGGGUGUGUAGGCGGUUCUUUAAGUUUGGUGUGAAAUCUCCCGGCUCAACCGGGAGGGUGCGCCGAAUACUGAGGGACUAGAGUGCGGGAGAGGAAAGUGGAAUUCCUGGUGUAGCGGUGAAAUGCGUAGAUAUCAGGAGGAACACCGGUGGUGUAGACGGCUUUCUGGACCGUAACUGACGCUGAGACACGAAAGCGUGGGUAGCAAACAGGAUUAGAUACCCUGGUAGUCCACGCCCUAAACGAUGCAUAUUUGGUGUGGGUCAUUCAGUUGAUCCGUGCCGGAGCUAACGCGUUAAAUAUGCCGCCUGGGGAGUACAGUCGCAAGGCUGAAACUCAAAGGAAUUGACGGGGGCCCGCACAAGCGGUGGA